rnacentral:tRNA from 1 species
GGAGAGGUGGCAGAGUGGUUGAAUGCAGUUGCCUGCUAAGCAAUUGGCCGGGGCAACCUGGCCCCUGGGUUCGAAUCCCAGCCUCUCCGCCA